rnacentral:rRNA from 1 species
UACGUAGGUGGCGAGCGUUGUCCGGAUUUACUGGCGUAAAGGGCGUGCAGGCGGUUUGUUAAGUGCAGGGUGAAAGCUCCCGGCUCAACUGGGAGAGGUCCUUGCAUACUGGCGAACUCGAGGGAGGCAGAGGAAAGUGGAAUUCCCGGUGUAGUGGUGAUAUGCGUAGAUAUCUGGAGGAACACCAGUGGCGAAGGCGGCAUCCUGGACCGGCAUUGACGCUGAGGCGCGAAAGCUAGGGUAGCAAACGGG